rnacentral:tRNA from 1 species
UUUUAACUCAGUGGUAGAGUACGCCAUGGUAAGGCGUAAGUCAUCGGUUCAAAUCCGAUAAGGGGCU